rnacentral:rRNA from 1 species
UUUUUUUUGCAACAAAUAUAUCAAUUCAAUUGUCGAUGAAGAAUGCAGCAAAGUGUGUUAUGCAUUGCAAAAUGCAGAAUUUCGUGAAUCAAUGAAUGGUUGAAUGUUGUUUGUAUCUUC